rnacentral:rRNA from 1 species
GACGAACGCUGGCGGCGUGCUUAACACAUGCAAGUCGAACGAUGAAAGAGGAGCUUGCUACUCUGGAUUCGUGGCGCAAGGGUGAGUAUCACGUGAGCAUACUCCCCCUGACUCAGGAAUAACUACUGGAAACUGUGGCUAAUACCGGGUAUGCGCCGUACAGCCGUCUGUUUUGGUGGGGAAGAAUUUCGGUAGGUGAUGAGCUCGCGUCCUAUCGGCUUGUUGGUGCGGUAACGUCUCACCAAGGCGCCGACAGGUAGCCGGCCUGAGAGGGUGACCGGGCACAUUGGGACUGAGACACGGCCCAGACGCCUACGGGAGGCAGCAGUGGGGAAUAUUGCACAAUGGGGGCAAGCCUGAUGAAGCAACUCCGCGUGAGGGAUGACGGCCUUCGGGUUGUAAACCUCUUUUAGCGGGGAAGAAGCGAAAGUGACGGUACCUGCAGAGAAAGCGCCGGCUAACUACGUG